rnacentral:rRNA from 1 species
UCGCUCUUCAACGAGGAAUCCCUAGUAAGCACAAGUCAUCAGCUUGUGCUGAUUACGUCCCUGCCCUUUGUACACACCGCCCGUCGCUACUACCGAUUGAAUGGCUUAGUGGGGCCUUCGGAUUGAGAUUUGGAGGCUGGCAAAAACUCGGAUUUUAAGAAGUGGUCAAAUUGGUAUUUAAGGAAGAAAAGCCUAACAGUUUCGUAAGUAACUGCGGAAGGAUCUUACCAUUUACGAACUGAUUUUUGGGUCAUGGUUCCGAAAUUGUAUUUAAAAACCACUCUUAU